GGUGUUGUAGCUCAGUGGUGGAGUGGUUGCCUAGCAUGCAUGAGGCACUAGGUUAGAUCCCCAGCACCA
rnacentral:tRNA from 1 species